GAUGAACGCUGGCGGCGUGCCUAAUACAUGCAAGUCGAGCGAACAGAUGAGGAGCUUGCUCCUCUGACGUUAGCGGCGGACGGGUGAGUAACACGUGGAUAACCUACCUAUAAGACUGGGAUAACUUCGGGAAACCGGAGCUAAUACCGGAUAAUAUUUUGAACCGCAUGGUUCAAUAGUGAAAGACGGUUUUGCUGUCACUUAUAGAUGGAUCCGCGCCGCAUUAGCUAGUUGGUAAGGUAACGGCUUACCAAGGCAACGAUGCGUAGCCGACCUGAGAGGGUGAUCGGCCACACUGGAACUGAGGCACGGUCCUGACUCCUACGGGAGGCAGCAGUAGGGAAUCUUCCGCAAUGGGCGAAAGCCUGACGGAGCAACGCCGCGUGAGUGAUGAAGGUCUUCGGAUCGUAAAACUCUGUUAUUAGGGAAGAACAAAUGUGUAAGUAACUAUGCACGUCUUGACGGUACCUAAUCAGAAAGCCACGGCUAACUACGUG
rnacentral:rRNA from 1 species